UGCCUGCCCGAUGCGUUGUUGUGAAUGGCCGCAGUAUUUUGACUGUGCUAAGGUAGNNNNNUNGUUGCCUCAUAAUUGGAGGAUUGUUUGAAUGGUUUGACCUGAGAGUUGUAAUUAGAUGGAGGCUUUAUUCGAAAUUGAUUUCUUGGUGCAGACUCCAAGAUGUUUUUAUAAGACGGAAAGACCCCGAGAUCUUGAUACUGAGGUGUUUGUUUGGGGCAAAAGUAGAUAUUUUAUGUAUUUUUGGAUCCUCUAGGAAUUAGGUUUAAGUUACCUCGGGGAUAACUAGGUAAAAGAUAAGGAGAGGUCGGAUCGAUUUAUCUAAUUGCCAUCUCGAUGUUGACUUAGGGGCAGCAGGAGGGUGCAGGAGUUCUCUUGCUUGGUCUGUUCGACCGGAGAUCCCUUCAUGAGUUGAGUUAAGACCGGA
rnacentral:rRNA from 1 species